UACGUAGGGUGCAAGCGUUGUCCGGAAUUAUUGGGCGUAAAGAGCUCGUAGGCGGUUCGUCACGUCGGCUGUGAAAACCUGAGGCUCAACCUCAGGCCUGCAGUCGAUACGGGCGGACUUGAGUACUGCAGGGGAGACUGGAAUUCCUGGUGUAGCGGUGAAAUGCGCAGAUAUCAGGAGGAACACCGGUGGCGAAGGCGGGUCUCUGGGCAGUAACUGACGCUGAGGAGCGAAAGCGUGGGGAGCAAACAGG
rnacentral:rRNA from 1 species